CAGCCGCCACGGGAAAACGUAGGGUGCAAGCGUUAAUCGGAAUUACUGGGCGUAAAGCGUGCGCAGGCGGUUUGUUAAGACAGAUGUGAAAUCCCCGGGCUCAACCUGGGAAUGGCAAUGGAUACUGGCAAGCUAGAGUGUGUCAGAGGAUGGUGGAAUUCCCGGUGUAGCGGUGAAAUGCGUAGAGAUCGGGAGGAACAUCAGUGGCGAAGGCGGCCAUCUGGGACAACACUGACGCUGAGGCACGAAAGCGUGGGGAGCAAACAGGAUUAGAUACCCCAGUAGUCCCUGUCUCUAUACA
rnacentral:rRNA from 1 species